AAAAAUCCGACCCGUUAACCACGUGGGCAACCUUAUCCCUUCCAAUGCUCUAGUCUUACACCAUUUGAUCACCACCAUAAUCUAGAAACCAAAUCUUCGUUCCUUUACUCAUCUCUCUCCCCUAAUUUUGGAUUAUCACAUCCAUUACAAUGUCCAACUCUUUCAGUUGCUUCAGUCCAUCUCCAUUCCUCUAUCCUGCUCUCCCAAACCCCGGAAAACCCAACUAGGGUCGCCGGAACCUGCCAUUGCCGACAUCCUCCAACUGGUGGAGCCCACUUUUCGGAUCCUGACUACAUUCACAACAUCACUACCGACGGGUUGAUUGUUGAAGGGUCGGAUGCACCGGAGUCCGAAACGGCGAAAGAAUUCAGAUCUCAUUUCAGCUGCAAUAGCAUCUCGCCUCGCCUCUAAAACCUCCAGAUUGUUGACUUGCCUGUGUUAUUCUAGUAAUAUUUUAGUUGUCAUCUGUUGAGAUUUUGAAUCUGUUUUUGUAUUAUGUACCAUUCUGUCGUUCUUCGGCAAUUACAUCAUUGUUUUUGUAUUGGGUGUAAUUUAUGACACCAGAUCCUCUGUCCCUAAAUUUUCCGUUUCCUUUGUGUCCUUCCAUUUAAAUUUUGACACAUAUCUUUUUAUUUAAUUUUAGAAUUAAUUAAUGUUAAGUAAGAGACUAGGUGUCAAAAUUUAAAUAGAGGAACACAAGAAGAUAAAAAAUUUGGAGACAAGGGAUCUGCUCUAGUAAUUUAUGUGUUUGAAUGAUGAAAUUGUUGUUUUAUCUACG
rnacentral:lncRNA from 1 species